CCUACGGGACGCAGCAGUGGGGAAUUUUGGACAAUGGGCGCAAGCCUGAUCCAGCUAUUCCGCGUGUGGGAUGACGGCCCUCGGGUUGUAAACCACUUUAGUAGAGAACGAAAAGGAGCUAUCGAAUAAAUAGCUCUGCUGGCGGUACUCUAAGAAUAAGCACCGGCUAACUACGUGCCAGCAGCCGCGGUAAUACGUAGGGUGCGAGCGUUAUCCGGAUUUAUUGGGUUUAAAGGGUGCGCAGGCGGAUUUUUAAGUCAGCGGUCAAAUCGUGGGGCUCAACCCCAUCCAGCCGUUGAAACUGG
rnacentral:rRNA from 1 species